CUCAGUGUGAACUUAACGAGGAAAAUGGAGAAAAAAAGGAAUCGCAAGCCGAACUGGACUGAGGAGCAAUGUUUGUUGCUGGCCCAGUUGGUGAACGAACAUAAAGGUAUGUUACGAGGAAAAUUUGGCCCAACUGUCACUAGCCAAGGCAAGAGGCGCGCCUGGGACACAAUAUCCCAAACAAUCAAUGCCUCUUUUCCACUGGUGGUGCGGACAGGCGACGAUUGUGAGAAAAGGUGGUAUGUGCUGCAGUCCAAGGCAAAAGAUGAGAUUGCAGCACACAAGCGGGAAUCCUCACUCACAGGUGAGCAAAAUACUAUGGCCUACCACAUAAUCUGGCAACUUGCUCCUGCUGGCAAAGUUAAUUUACAUGCCUAAGUACUGUGUUCAUUGACUGUUUCUUUCUAGGGGGGUGGACCACCUGCAAAGCGGCUGUCCCAGGUGGCCGACACUGUCUUUCAAGUCCUGGGACACUCUGAGGUCAGUGUCACCGGGCUGCCAACAGGCAUUGACACGUCAAUGAUGCAGGCCCUUGAAAUGCAGCAAAGCAUUGAGCCAUCACAAGAACCGGGCCCAUCAAGUUUGCCGCCUGAACCAUCUGCAGCUGCUACUCAGGAUAGCCCGGCGGAUCAAACACCAUUCCCAUCCGCAGCACCUGCUCCGUCAGCAUCCCUGCAGGAGAGAAGAUUGCAACUCACAAUUGAUGUGUUUGAACAACAAAAAAAAAGUCCUUUCCCUUCAGGAGGAGUACUACCGCCUUAAAAUUGAACACC
ensembl:lncRNA